GUACACGCUGUGACUAGCAUAUCAAUAAGCGGAGGAAAAGAAACUAACAAGGAUUCCCCUAGUAACGGCGAGUGAAGCGGGAAGAGCUCAAAUUUGAAAUCUUAAAGGGUUUCCCUUUACGAAUUGUAGUUUAAAGAAGUGUUUUCUGUUGAGGUUUUGGUAAAAGUUCUUUGGAAUAGGACAUCAUAGAGGGUGAGAAUCCCGUAUUUGACCUUUACUUUCAACCUUGUGAUACACUUUCAAAGAGUCGGAUUGUUUGGGAAUGCAGUCCAAAAUGGGUGGUAAAUUUCAUCUAAAGCUAAAUAUUGGCGAGAGACCGAUAGCGAACAAGUACCGUGAGGGAAAGAUGAAAAGAACUUUGAAAAGAGAGUUAAACAGUACGUGAAAUUGUCAAAAGGGAAGCGUUUGACACCAGUGUUGUUUUUCUGAAAAUCAAUUAAAGAACUGUUUAUGCUAAGCUGUUUAGACUUUAUCAGCUAUCUGUUUAGUUUUGAGCUUUUCUUUAAUGCACUUUUCAGUUAACAAGUCAACAUCGAUUUCUUUUGCUGUAAAAAAGCUUGAGGAAGGUGGCUUGAGAUUCGUCUUAAGUGUUUAUAGCCUCUUGCCUAUGCAGUCGGAGAGAUUGAGGUCUGCAGCGUAGAUCCUUCGGGGCUAAAUGCAUUUGUGCUAAGUUAUAGCAUUUUAUAGACAACUUGUUGACUAUGAUUUGUCUUGUAGCUUACUCGCUUAUGUUAUUUUACCUACGCUUAGGAUGUUGACGAGACUGUCGAUCUC
rnacentral:rRNA from 1 species